rnacentral:rRNA from 1 species
UGGCGGACGGGUGAGUAACGCGUGGGUAACCUGCCUCAUACAGGGGGAUAACAGUUAGAAAUGACUGCUAAUACCGCAUAAGACCACGGAGCCGCAUGGCUCAGUGGGAAAAACUCCGGUGGUAUGAGAUGGACCCGCGUCUGAUUAGGUAGUUGGUGGGGUAACGGCCUACCAAGCCGACGAUCAGUAGCCGACCUGAGAGGGUGACCGGCCACAUUGGGACUGAGACACGGCCCAG